AUGACUGAUCUCACUGCGCUGGCAGAUCAUGUUGCUGAUUUCAAUCCUAUUAGUCACUGAUUACAACAACAUAUUAAAUUGAUUUUUAGAACAGGGAGACGGAAGAGGGGCUUGCUCCGUCCGCUCCACGCAUCGACCUGGUAUUGCAGUACCUCCGGGAAUGGUGCACCUCCU
rnacentral:snRNA from 1 species